AGAGGAGAGGGAGGAUCUCCUCAUCGAGGACUACAGUAGUGUAGAGUGUGGACGAAGAAGGAGGAGGAAGAUACUGCAGCCUUCAGCCGGGUCCCCCCUCUCGCUCUUCUCCCAUCCUCCUUUCUCUUGCCAAUCCCACCAUCAUGAACCCGCCUGCUGCUUGUUGCUAAGAGUGGAGCCAAGGGGGUGAAGAGAGCCGAGUGGACUGGACCGGCCACUGUUUGCUUUCUAAGGUUCGGGUGAACAUGGCAGAAGGAUCCAAAAAGCGGGCCGGCGUCAUUGAUCCGGACGAGGACUCCCCAAACAUGAUUGUCUACAGAAAGAUUGAGGGCAUCGUCACCAGGAUCCAAGAUGAGAAAGCAGGAGGAGUUGCCAUAAGGACUGUUAAGAGCUUUCUGUCCAAAAUCCCCAGUGUUGUAUCAGGGGCGGACAUUGUUCAGUGGCUGAUGAAAAACCUCUCCAUAGAAGAUCCAGCUGAGGCCAUCCACCUUGGAAGUUUGAUCGCAGCCCACGGCUACAUCUUCCCCAUCUAUGACCAUGUCCUGAUGCUCAAAGAUGACGGAACUCUUUAUCGCUUUCAGUCUCCAUACUUCUGGCCUUCAAAUUGCUGGGAGCCUGAGAACACAGACUAUGCCAUCUACCUGUGCAAGCGCACCAUGCAGAAUAAGGCCAGGCUGGAGCUUGCCGACUAUGAGGCUGAGAACCUUGCUAGACUACAGAGGGCUUUUGCCAGAAAGUGGGAGUUUAUCUUCAUGCAAGCUGAGGCUCAAGUCAAAAUCGACAGAAAGAAGGACAAGGCAGAAAGGAAGAUCCUGGAUAGCCAAGAGAGGGCAUUCUGGGAUGUCCAUCGACCAGUGCCAGGCUGCGUCAACACCACAGAAAUGGAUAUCCGCAAGUGCCGCAGAGAGAAAAACCCACACAGGGUCAAAAAGUCAGUUUAUGGGUUACCUGAUGAUAACCACAGCCAGCCAAGUCCAAUCCACAUGAGCUCUCAGCCCGCCAGGAAGCCCACCAAAGAGGACGUUCAGAAGGAGAUCACCUUCCUCAACAUCCAGCUGGACCGACACUGCUUGAAGGUUUCCAAAGUGGCAGACAGCCUGAUGGGCUACACUGAGCAGUUCAUGGACUACGACCCCUUCGUGUCGCCCACUGAGCCCUCCAACCCUUGGGUCAGUGAUGACUCCUCCUUUUGGGACCUGGAGGCAAGUCGGGAUCCGAGCCAGCAACGGGUGAAGAAGUGGGGCUUCUCCUUAGAGGAAGCUCUAAAAGACACCGCAGGACGAGAACAGUUCCUGAGGUUCUUGGAGUCAGAAUUCAGCUCAGAGAACCUACGAUUUUGGUUAGCGGUGCAGGAUCUGAAGCGACGGCCGCUGCAGGAGGUUGCGUCCCGCGCGCAGGAGAUCUGGCAGGAGUUCUUGGCCGAGGGAGCACCAAGUUCCAUCAACCUGGACUCUCACAGCUACGAGCGCACAAGCCACAACCUGAAGGACCCUGGACGUUACAGCUUUGAGGAUGCUCAGGAGCACAUCUUCACGCUGAUGAAAAGUGACAGCUAUGCACGCUUUUUGAGGUCCAAUGUCUACCAAGACCUCCUGUUUGCGAGAAAGAAGUCAUAAUUGCAACACUCGCCGUGGUUCCUCCACGAGCUAACGACAUCACUGGUCACCUCAUCACCCCCUGUGCCUCACCCAAAAUCCACCAUGCCCUUCCUCCCUGCUCCCACCUCUCGCAGCAGCAGCCUGCCGAUCCCGAACAAGGCCGCCGCACCUCCUUGGAGAAGUUCACCCGCAGCGUGGGCAAGUCACUGACAGGCAAGCGGCUAACGGGUCUCAUGCAGUCAUCCUGACAGACCUUUUGGAGGGAGGAGGGCACAGUUUGCUUCCACAUGAAACGAGGCUGGACGUCGUCACGCCACCAUAUUGAAUGCUCAGAGGACUGCCGCCGUACUGGUCACAUAGCGUUGAGCCGACUGGGACAGAUGCUAAGAGCAGGAACAGGAAGUGAGCACACAACAUGCAACAUACGCUACAGCCUUGUUAAAUAACCUGUUUAUAUUCAUAUUAUUUUCUAUAUGAGUGUAUUGUGUAUCAUGUUAAAAGCACAUUUUUUGUGUGUGUGUGUGGGACUCGGGGGGGGUCUACAAAAGCUCCUUCACACAAAUGUUUAUUUGCCCUGAACUCAACACAGGUCCUUUUUAUUUGCCAGCAAUAAAGGGAGCGUGAGACCACUUACUUUAUCUUCAUUUUUCAAUAGAUUUUGUCUUUUUUUUUCUGCCACUGUACUAUGUAGCAUGAGGGUCCUGCUGUCUUGCUGUCUGUCUUUUAGGAAUCUGCGGGAAAACACAUUUUGAUCCAAACUUGCAGGUCGAUUUGAGGUCAUUCAAGGGCCGGACUUUGCCCUAAGGCCGCCAGUUGAAAAGCCUGCUGUCUGACAUGUACUGCAUGCAGGGGCGUCGAAGUGGAGGAGUAAGUAGGGAUGUUACACAUGCUUUGGUAAAAAAAAAUGUUUUCUUUCUGUCAUUUAUAAUAAUGUCAUAAAUAUUAAUGUAACAUUAAUAUAGCCAUGAAAGUAAAAAAAAAUAAGAUAUUUUAAAUCAAAUUAAGAAUGUGUAACUACCUACAGCAGUGGUUCUCAAACUUUUUUCACCAAGAACCACCUCAUAAAAAAAACUUGGCUCUCUAAGUAUGACCAACAUUAACAACCUCCCAGGACCCUGCAUUCACAUAUGGGGACUUCACGAUUUCAAAUGUGUGGGCCACAAUACUACAUUUUGCUCUCUAAGGGCCUGGUGUCCACUUACAAGGACGUUAUACUGCUACUUAGUGGUGGAAGAAGGGUAUAACACAUUGCAGGUUAUAUUCAAGAUGACUGACAACACCACAAAAAUACCCACCUGGUAAAAAAUUCCACCAAAUUUCUUGGAUAAUUCUUGUUCAAUGUUGGUUAUUACAGUUAAACUUUUACAAAAGUUAUUAACUGUAACAAUUAACCGUGCCGUUAAACAUGAUGUACACAUAUGUGGACAGAAAGACUUAGUUUUGAUAAUUUUGUGAACAAAGGAAGUUCUUUUUUAAAAUGUAUUUUGGGAUAAUUUUGUUUAAAACAUUUUGGUUACUAUAGUACAAGACCAUAUGACAUGUUAUAUAAAUAAAUCUAUAUAGAUUUUAAUUAGAUUUUUCUCUGUGUUUUUUUAUUUAUUUUCAGGGCGUUAUUCUGUGUCACAAGUACUCGGGGGGUUAAUUUAGGGAGAUAAAUCAGAGGGGAAGAUUUGUCAGACAUUGUUGAUCCCGUGGGGGAUUCCGUUCACGAGAGCUUGUCCGUGGCAACAAUAUCUGCCAAUAGCUGAUGUUAUUGUGCUGGACUUUGACAUUUACCAAGGUGUAUACAUGCACCUCAUGAGCAGGUUGAAGAACCAGGGGAUCUGAGUUUGGGAAGCUGGGUUAUAGCUUGUCUGUCUCAAGCUCUGCAUGUUCACACAAAAGUGUUUGGUGAUUGGUUUUUCACAUCCAUUCAAUGUGCGGAACACAUGAUGAAGAAACAGGUGUACUUAUCUGGUACAGUAAUGAAGAAUCGGGUCGCCGAAGCAGUACAGAAGCUACCCACUGACAAAAAAAUUAAAGCAGACAUAUGAUGUACCAGCACAAAUUACCACUGAGGAUGGAAAGAUUUGCAUGGUGAAGUGGUAUGACAAUAAACUGAUAUUGAUGAUGUCUGCUGUUCAUAGGGGCAGCGUAGCUCGAUUGGUAGAGCGGCCGUGCCAGCAACCUGAGGGUUCUAGGUUCGAUCCCCGCUUCUGCCAUCCUCGUCACAGCUGUUGUGUCUUUGGGCAAGACACUUCACCCACUUGCUCCCAGUUCCACCCACACUGGUUAAAAAAUGUAACUUAGAUAAUGGGUUCCACUAUGUAAAGCGCUUUGGGUCACUAGAGAAAAGUGCUAUAUAAAUAUAAUUCACUUCACUUCAUGCUAGAGAGCCAGAAGACACCUUCCAGAGAUUGGACAAAAACUGUAAAGAUUUGUGACUAUCUCACGACCAAGUAUUGGGUGGAGUUGACUUUGUCGAUAGAAUUACGAUUAUUACUAUCGCAUGAAUGGCCGUACAAUGAAAUGGACACUGCGGAUGCUAUUGCACUUUACCGAUCUGGUGUUAGCCAACAGCUGGUUAAUGUACACUAAAGACACUUCAAAAAAGAACGUCACGCAGUUCCUUGAAUUUCGAAUGGAAGUGGCCAUGACCUUCUUGAGUCAGCAUGACAAUGACAACUGUGAUUUUUCAGAGCAGAAGGAUGACCCAGAUGUUUCUGUCCAGGAGAAAAGGCGCCCAGACCAUGUCUCAGUUCGCAGGAGGGUGGUAAACUUGAAAAAUGCAGUACGCUGCAGAGCAAAAUGCUGCUCAGGAAAAAAACUUGAAUGCAUUGUAAUACAUGCAAGGUGUUCCUCUGCUUACAGACAGAUGGCAACUGUUACACAGCCUUUCACACAUAGGUGUAAAGAUGUUUCUGUGGGGGAAAAAAAAGUUUAAAGUCAUAGUUUGGUAGUGUAAGUAAAAUUAAUUUUGUUUCAUGACAUGUUCAUGCUGCUGUG